rnacentral:sRNA from 1 species
CUUAGGGAACAUGUUCUGAGACAGACGCCCCCCCCCCUAUGAACAUCCAAAAUGGCAGAUGAUCCUAGCCCUCUCUACAAGUGCUUUCUUCUAUACAUAUGAGCCUGUGGUGAAAUUUAAUUUAGGAACCGGGCAGUGUAAAGAUUACUAAGAGCGGUGAAUUAUAAAAUGAUACAAUUAUCUAUAAUAAAGUUAGGUAGAACCAAUGAACUGUUGAUUUCUGGAACUUUCCACUGAGUAUCUCAGAAGGGGAAACUUCAGACUAGAGAGAACUCAGAGGGGAAAUACUUGCCUGGAGCCAUGGCACGAGGCCAGCUAGCCCAAAGUAACCUCGGUGCCUUCCCUGAACUCCUCACAGACACUCAAAUAUAUUGCCCCCGAAGGACACACUUUCUAUUUGUUCAUUGUUUCUACAGUUGUUCCUUGGGUCUCGAUACAAAAGCCUCUCUGUGGUGGUGGUGGUGGUGGGGGGGAUGCAGGUUUGAUGGGCAGCAAUUACGCCAUAGGAACUCCAUGACCACACAGGGACUACAUACAAAAAGUGCUAAAGAAACGCUUGCUGGGGGUAUACUCCACGUGUUGAUGUUAAGUCUGACUUGGCUCAUUUCGGUUUGAAAGAAAAAUCCCCCUGCAGGAUGUGUCUGGGAGCACGAGGCUUUAUAACUUGUGUAAAAAUCACAACCAUCGAAAACCAAAGCCACAAGCCAGGGCUAUGAUUUGCAAGCAGCAUUCCAGAGCACAGAGUUCAGUUUUGGUUUUUUUUUUCCCCCUCUAGGAGGGGCAUGAAUCUAUAAUCAUAGGUUAGCAAGUUUCCACAACACAGUAAUGUCUAACGAGCCAGUAUUUUUGAGAAAAACAACUGUACUUUGGCAAGGAUUGACCUAACCGAUGACUCCGUUUCAGGAUCAGACAAGUUCUGAGUGGUCACGAAUAGCCAGCCACAAUUCGAGCUUCUGCUCAGAGAUGACAGAGCAGCAAGAGACGGACCCUUGACGGUAAGGGGCGGGGAGACCACUGCUUUAGUGCCAAGAAGGCACUGGGUACCUCUUCAGUGAUGAGGGCCAUGGGUUAGAAGGGUAAGCCGUUGGGUUAGCGUCCUAUUUAUCUGCUGAUCAAAGCUCAGGAGACUAGUGUCCCAGUGUGCAUCUACCUUGGACAAGUCACGAGAAAAGGUGACUGAUUCAAGUGGCAGAAUCUAAACCUAUUCAUUGUGAAGGCCUGGUCUCUGGCUUCUCCCGGCAGAGCCCAAAUGUUCCCUGGCAUGAAGGUUUAGUGAGUGGUGAACUAGGCAGAGGAUCAUGCCUGUGAUCCCACCACCGGGGGAGGCCGGGGCAGAUGGAUUGCUGUGAGUUUGAGGCCAGCCUGGGCUACAUACAGAGUGAGUUCCGGGGCAGCCUGAGCCAUAGUCUGAAGCUCUGUUUCUUUCAGGUUUCACCUAUAAAACUCCCCUAGAGUCUUACAUCACACACACACACACACACACACACACACACACACACACACACACACACACACUUGUUUACCUCAUGUGAGAAGCCUAGUUUCUCUCAGCUCCGGUCUGUGGGGGAGAAGCCUGAUUUUUCUCCCACAGACUUUCACACCCGCUGGCACUCAGCCUGGCUUCUAGAAGUCAGAUGCCGGUGAACUGGGAAACCUCUGUUUGUGUCCAUCAUCAGGCCGUUGGUGUGAAGAAGGGUUUUAAGGAAGGUUUUAAAAAAAAAACAAAAAACAAACAAACAAACAAACAAACAAACAAACAAAAAAAAACCCAGAGUCAAACCUGGGAAGCGCAAACAAGUCGGUAAGACCCGCGCUCUCUCUCUCUCUCUCGCUCUGGCAGAAGCCAUUGCUCCCUAAGGGCGGCAGGUGAAAACAGCUCUGCUUCUCCAGGACGCGGUGUGAAGGCCCCAGGAGGCCAAUGCUCACACCCCGUUAGUCGCACAUGGGCAGCUCCCCUCUCCAAAGAGCGCGAGUUUGCUAAACUUCCAAAUUUCAUCUUGAGGGGCCACCUAAACUGUUUACAAAGGAAGACCAACCUGCUUCUUUAUAUUUGAACGUUUUGUCUUUGUUUUUUCCUUUUUAAAUUCUAGGCUGGCCUCAGAACUCUCUGUGCAGGGUGAUGCUGAACUUCAGAUCCUCCUGCCUCUGCCUCCUUGAGUCCUAGGAUCACGGGUGUCCCAUGGCUGCUUGCAUGGUGCUGGGGAAUCAAACUCGGGGCUUAGAGCAUGCUAGACAAAAGCGUUCUACCCACCGAGCUACAUCCGCAGCCCUUACACAUGGCACUCAGAUUCCCUACCUCUUUCCGUUAGCAACAACCUGGCAUCCUUGAAACGGAGGCUUCUAGGAUUUUGUGAAUAUUAAUAUUCUUACCGGAUAUUGAGGCCUCUGGUGCUUUAGAUACAAAAGCAGGUGACCGUGUACACAGACUUUGUCUGCCCCUUUUCUAGGGCCUGUAACUUGAUUUUGGAGAAGGGGCACUUUCUCUGGCUGUUUGUUUCUGAGCUUCCUCCUCAUUCCUUUCCAGGGUAAGCAUUCCCCCUCCCUGACCACCCCCACCGCAAGAGGAGGUGUACAAGUAAAGUGCAGGACAGGAAGAAGGUGCCGAGGAAGCCUGUGACUUUGGCCACACGCAGUGGGAGGGGAGCUCUCUGUGCUCAGGGAAGCUGGGCUGCAGAUACCAAGCCCAGAGCCGCUUGGAGCUUCCUGCUGCCUUGAAGGCAUAGAAGGGCCUUCCUAGAGGAGGCAGGCGAUACCCAGUGGAGGUCACAGCUGCCUUGGGAUCCUUGAACAUCAAGGCAGCACUGCCUCCCCCACCCCCCAUCUUUUCCAUUUUGGCUUCAGCAGCUGAGAGCUCUGCAUUUGCAAGUGAUAACCGCAUCUUUAAAACAAGAAACACCAGGAAGGCAGCCACGGUCACAGGGCCCACACAGAGCUAAUGCUCGAAAAUACACGACGUUCUCUGAGGACCCACAUGUCCAGUUUCCCUGAACAGACAGCACAGAUGGCAGGGCCAGCAAUGGGUACCUAAAGCAGCAUGUGACAGCUGGGCCUCAAUGCUGGAGGCUGUCUGUCUCCUCCACAGCCCAGCCGGCCCUUCUUCCUCACAGGCAGCAGUGUCACUGGGCCACCGGCCUGAAGUAGGCUUAUAAUGGAGGCAGAGGUGUGCAAGCUGGGCAGCUAUUGUCAGGGUCCUUCCUGCUACCCGUCCGGCUGCAGAGGCAGAACCACUGGGUUACAGAGACACUUGGCUUCCUCGGUGACAGCCUCAAAAUUGUGGAUUCGGAGCCACUGAGAUGUGCAAUGAUAACAGUGUGUGAAUCAAACCUGAACAAAGCCAGGAGAGAGAAAGGGAGGGGAAAAGAGAGGAGGGGACAGAGGGGGAAGAAGAGGGGUGUGAAAGAAGGCUAGCAUGUCUAAAAUGUAUGCAAGACCCACUGGCAGGGCGUUCAACCUUUUCACUUUGCAACACAAUGUGGUUGUCAUGUCCAAAGUUCAAACUGGAAAACCUCGCAGUGGAAUUAAAAGGGGAAAAAAUGACCUAAGUUCUCGGUUUUUACCAUCUUGUGUUGGGGGCAUAUUCAUAGCUCCCCUCGGAGUUCUCAUCCUGUGCGCCAUGAAUCAGACAGGUGAGGGAGCAAAGCAUGGGUUUUUCAGUUUGUCUGGAUUUCAGAGACACGAAAGGCUACCUACCACACAGCACAACCAUUGGAACAGCCCAUGUGACAGGGUGAGCCACCAAGGCUCCCCAUAAGCCUGAACACUACGGAGACGAGUGGGGACCCCAUAGGAAGAAGCAGGAAGUGACUGGGAUGGUGGCUCUGUCCUGAGGGCAGAGUCCCAGCAGAGACAACAGAAGCAGGCAGGGAGAGUGCCACAGGCCAGGUGAGGACUACAGUCUUCCUGACCUCCAGCCUCAGCCCCUGACAGACCCAGGCGUUACUCCGGAAGAAACUGGGCUCACAUGAUCAGUACAUUCAGGGAACAGGAAAAGAGAACUAAAAGUUUAUGUCAGGCAACACUGGCAUGCAAGGUCAAAGGGCACAACUCUGAAGAAUGUAAGGCACGCCGCUCCCAGGAGCCCAUCAGAUAAUCUACCAGAACGAGCCUUAGUGAGCUGAGCCAACUCAGAGACAUCUUUAUACGGAUGGCAGAAACGUAACACAGCUACCCCGGGACUAAGCAAAUGAGCACUAAGAGGCACGGUGAGGAGCUGAGGAGUGACAGACACUUACAAACACCUGAAGAGGGACAGCAGGUGCAAAGAGUUCCCAGUGCCUUCCAGCCUGCUGAGGGCUCUGCAUCUACACUGCUGAGUCCUGACACUGCUGCCCUCAUCUUGGCACAACGAAGAAAUGUACCCAGUGGGGAACAGGUCCAGCAUGGUAGAGCCAACGAGGACAGGAGAAUGACUGUCAGAUGAUCCUGGCUGAGCUGCUCAAUUAAUUCCUUCCACAGUCACCCUUCAGUCGGGUUCUUAUGCGAAGUAAUAAAUCUCCUUAUCAUUUGAA